rnacentral:rRNA from 1 species
UGGGGAAUCUUGCGCAAUGGGGGAAACCCUGACGCAGCGACGCCGCGUGCGGGAUGAAGGCCUUCGGGUUGUAAACCGCUUUCAGCAGGGACGAGGCCUUAUGGUGACGGUACCUGCAGAAGAAGCUCCGGCUAAAUACGUGCCAGCAGCCGCGGUAAUACGUAUGGAGCAAGCGUUGUCCGGAAUUAUUGGGCGUAAAGCGCGCGCAGGUGGUUUAGAAAGUCUGACGUGAAAGCCCACGGCUCAACCGUGGAGGGUCAUUGGAAACUAAUAAACUUGAGUGCAGGAGAGAAAAGUGGAAUUCCUAGUGUAGCGGUGAAAUGCGUAGAGAUUAGGAGGAACACCGGUGGCGAAAGCGGCUUUUUGGCCUGCAACUGACACUGAGGCGCGAAAGCGUGGGGAGCAAACAGG